rnacentral:rRNA from 1 species
AGCGAACGCUGGCGGCAGGCCUAACACAUGCAAGUCGAACGAACCCUUCGGGGUUAGUGGCGGACGGGUGAGUAACACGUGGAACGUGCCUUUAGGUUCGGAAUAACUCAGGGAAACUUGUGCUAAUACCGAAUGUGCCCUUCGGGGGAAAGAUUUAUCGCCUUUAGAGCGGCCCGCGUCUGAUUAGCUAGUUGGUGAGGUAAUGGCUCACCAAGGCUACGAUCAGUAGCUGGUCUGAGAGGAUGACCAGCCACAUUGGGACUGAGACACGGCCCAAACUCCUACGGGAGGCAGCAGUGGGGAAUCUUGCGCAAUGGGCGAAAGCCUGACGCAGCCAUGCCGCGUGGAUGGUGAAGGUCUUAGGAUUGUAAAAUCCUUUCACCGGUGAAGAUAAUGACUGUAGCCGGAGAAGAAGCCCCGGCUAACUUCGUGCCAGCCGCCGCAGUAAUAC